UACGGAGGGUGCAAGCGUUAUCCGGAUUCACUGGGUUUAAAGGGUGCGUAGGUGGGCUGAUAAGUCAGUGGUGAAAUCCCCGAGCUUAACUUGGGAACUGCCAUUGAUACUAUUGAUCUUGAAUACCGUGGAGGUCAGCGGAAUAUGUCAUGUAGCGGUGAAAUGCUUAGAUAUGACAUAGAACACCAAUUGCGAAGGCAGCUGGCUACGCGAAUAUUGACACUGAUGCACGAAAGCGUGGGGAGCAAACAGG
rnacentral:rRNA from 1 species